UACAUAGGGGGCAAGCGUUGUCCGGAUUUAUUGGGCGUAAAGAGCUCGUAGGCGGUUUGUUGCGUCGGCUGUGAAAUCCCGAGGCUCAACCUCGGGUCUGCAGUCGAUACGAGCAAACUAGAGUGUUGCAGGGGAGACUGGAAUUCCUGGUGUAGCGGUGAAAUGCGCAGAUAUCAGGAGGAACACCGGUGGCGAAGGCGGGUCUCUGGGCAACAACUGACGCUGAGGAGCGAAAGCGUGGGGAGCGAACAGG
rnacentral:rRNA from 1 species